ACGGGUGAGUAAUGUCUGGGAAACUGCCUGAUGGAGGGGGAUAACUACUGGAAACGGUAGCUAAUACCGCAUAAUGUCGCAAGACCAAAGAGGGGGACCCUCGGGCCUCUUGCCAUCGGAUGUGCCCAGAUGGGAUUAGCUAGUAGGUGGGGUAACGGCUCACCUAGGCGACGAUCCCUAGCUGGUCUGAGAGGAUGACCAGCCACACUGGAACUGAGACACGGUCCAGACUCCUACGGGAGGCAGCAUGC
rnacentral:rRNA from 1 species